GUGGGGAAUAUUGGACAAUGGGCGCAAGCCUGAUCCAGCCAUGCCGCGUGAGUGAUGAAGGCCUUAGGGUUGUAAAGCUCUUUCAGUGGGGACGAUAAUGACGGUACCCAAAGAAGAAGCCCCGGCUAACUUCGUGCCAGCAGCCGCGGUAAUACGAAGGGGGCUAGAGUUGUUCGGAUUUACUGGGCGUAAAGCGCACGUAGGCGGAUCGUUAAGUCGGUGGUGAAAUCCUGGAGCUCAACUCCAGAACUGCCUUCGAUAGUGGCGAUCUUGAGUCCGGAAGAGGUGAGUGGAACUCCUAGUGUAGAGGUGGAAUUCGUAGAUAUUAGGAAGAACACCAGUGGCGAAGGCGGCUCACUGGUCCGGUACUGACGCUGAGGUGCGAAAGCGUGGGGAGCAAACAGGAUUAGAUACCCCAGUAGUCC
rnacentral:rRNA from 1 species